GACGAACCGUGCGAACGUUAUUCGGAAUCACUGGGCUUAAAGCGCGUGUAGGCGGGCGGGAACGUCGGUUGCUGAAAGCCCCCGGCUCAACCGGGGAACGGGCGCCGAAACGACCCGCCUCGAGGGACGUAGGGGGACCUGGAACUUCCGGUGGAGCGGUGAAAUGCGCAGAUAUCGGGAGGAACACCAGUGGCGAAGGCGAUCAUCUGGGGUUGUUCUGACGCUGAGGAGCGAAAGCUAGGGGAGCAAACGGG
rnacentral:rRNA from 1 species